UAAAUAAAUAAAUGAUGGAAGACAAUUUUGAAACAAGGAGUCUAUGGAUACAGUAGUUUUCACAACUGUUAAUAUGAACUGUUGUGAUUGGUGUGCUACAGAAGUAAUAUUCAUGUCAAAGUGACAUUGCUCCGAUCACAAAAAAUCAUGUUCCAUUGUGAAAAAUAUUGUGUCCUUAGUAUUAACAUUUUGGAAAGGUGGAUUUGUAGAUACUUACAUGAUGCGCUGGGGGUUCCAAAGGAUAGAAUAGGUGUGGAAAUCUGCAGUUGGGUCAAACCAGAGAUAGAAUUGCUGCUCUCUGUUGCCCUUGCCUUGGCUGAACACAUUGGUGUGAAUGAUGUAAGGAUCACCACUCAAAUUGCCAAGGAACUCAAAGUCUAUCUCAUCCCAUGUUGACCCUUUUGAGGAUAACUGUAAA